rnacentral:lncRNA from 1 species
UAAAUGGGAUUUAAGUAACAUACCCUAUAAGGAUGAUAAAUCUAACUGCAUGACUACCAGGUGCAAGGAUUCUAUUUGUGCGGCAUGAGCGGGGCUGCUAAUCCCUCUCCCGUUCUUUCUCUUUGGCAGCCAACCACUUCCUGGUGUGCGCUGUAAUAACAGGCAGCUGUCCUGUCGGCCCCACUGAAAAAUGAGAUAAUAAGGCAGGCAAAUGAUGUCCUUUAUGUCGAGAAUCUACCACUUCCUGCAGUUUUCUUCUCAAAUGCUCACCCUUUUGUGUGGACCAUCUUUUUUUUUUUUUUGUACCGGAGAUCGAACUCAGGACCUUGCACUUUCGAGGGAGGCGACGGAACCACUGAACUAAAUCCCUGGCCCAGGACCAUCAUUUUUAACUGUCGUCACUUUUGUUGCCACUCCUGUCUUGUAAGUAUUCAAUUAACACUUGAUUUAAUGGAACCUUUGUGAAGCCCAGCCUGCAAGAGGUCGUGACUUGGGUGAAGAAUUCAUGGGAUAAAAUCACUGACAGCUAUAUUGCCAACACACUAUGAGUGGUCUACAUGGACAAGAAAUGCUCAUUUAAGGAGAGCUCUAUUACUGGAUGUGAGAGAUUGGGACCAACGGUUCCACAGGAAGUAUAAUUUCGAGAAAGUCAGGCUAAUCACCAGGUGUGGUAGCUCAUGCCUCUAAUCCUAGCACUCAAGAGGCUGAGGCAGAAGGACUGCAAUGAGUUCAAGGCCAGCCUGGGCUACAUAGUGAGACUCAAAAAAAACUAAGAAAUUCAGGCUGGAAUUUGGGGUUUGGAGACUUGUCCCAGAAGAUGACAUGACUGUAUUUAAAUACGUGUAGAAUUUGUAUGUGAAUAAAUGAGAUUGUUGUACAUGAAUAGAUGUAGAUUGCUGUACACGAAAAAAUAAGAUAUCUCCUGCAAAUAAGCCCUAUGGAAUCUGCUGGAGGAAAAAAUUAAUAUAAGACCCAGUCUUAUUUUCAGGGAAAUACAGUGUCUACCAGGUACUAUUCUCUAAGGACUUUACAUGCACCAUCACUUGA